rnacentral:rRNA from 1 species
CCUACGGGAGGCUGCAGUGAGGAAUAUUGGUCAAUGGACGAGAGUCUGAAGCAGCGAAGUAGCGUGAAGGAUGACUGCCCUAUGGGUUGUAAACGUCUUUUAUAUGGGAAUAAAAUGUUCCAUGUGUGGGAUUUUGUAGGUACCAUAUGAAUAAGGAUCGGCUAACCCCGUGCCAGUAGCCGCGGUAAUACGGAGGAUACGAGCGUUAUCCGGAUUUAUUGGGUUUAAAGGGAGCGUACGUGGAUUGUUAAGUGAGUUGUGAAAGUUUGCGGCUCAACCGUAAAAUUGCAGUUGAUACUGGCAGUCUUGAGUACAGUAGAGGUGAGCGGAAUUCGUGGUGUAGCGGUGAAAUGCUUAGAUAUCGCGAAGAACUCCUAUUGCGAAGGCAGCUCACUGGACUGCAACUGACACUGAGGCGCGAAAGUGUGGGUAUCAAACAGGAUUAGAUACCCGAGUAGUC